AGAGUUUGAUCCUGGCUCAGGACGAACGCUGGCGGCGUGCUUAACACAUGCAAGUCGAGCGGAAAGGCCUCUUCGGGGGUACUCGAGCGGCGAACGGGUGAGUAACACGUGAGUAAUCUGCCCUUCACACAUGGAUAACCACCGGAAACGGUGGCUAAUACAUGAUACGACACGUCUUCGCAUGAGGUGCGUGUGGAAAGUUUUUUCGGUGGAGGAUGUGCUCGCGGCCUAUCAGCUUGUUGGUGGGGUAAUGGCCUACCAAGGCUUCGACGGGUAGCCGGCCUGAGAGGGUGACCGGCCACACUGGGACUGAGACACGGCCCAGACUCCUACGGGAGGCAGCAGUGGGGAAUAUUGGACAAUGGGCGGAAGCCUGAUCCAGCAACGCCGCGUGAGGGAUGACGGCCUUCGGGUUGUAAACCUCUUUCAGUACCGACGAAGCGAGAGUGACGCGGCACAGAAGAAGCACCGGCCAACUACGUGCCAGCAGCCGCGGUA
rnacentral:rRNA from 1 species